GUGGAGGUUGGCGCCAAACAGUUCGCUUUUCUUUCUCUUCUCCCCCUCCCACCUUUUCCUCCGUUCGUGAUCGCCGUCGUUCCUGCAGCCCGCUUUCCACUUCGUUCAGUCCGCCUCGUCUCCUGCCGUGCGCCCGUUUCGGCGUCAGCACCGCUCGCCCGGGCGACUUCCGAAAAUUGCGGGGAGUUGGGGAGGGGGAGAGAGAAAAUGGCGGCCCCGGCGUGGGGGAGCGAGGAGAGGGGAAAGGAAAGUCACAAAGUCGCUAGUGUUUGUACUUAUUACAGUAGGGGGUGAGAAAUGCAAUAGUUUUCCGUUUCAUAUGGUAUAUGUGACAGUUAUGGCGGAUGUGGAGGAAGGAGCCCUUGCCUGCACCCACCAGUUGUGGGUCCACACUCAGUCUAAUUCGCUAUUGCUCCGCGUUUGUCCGAGCUUUCCUGCUUCCAAAGAACACUCUGGCCUAGCUAUCCAACACCCCGCAAGCCCCUCCACGGGCUUUUGGCCUCCUUCUACGCCUGCCAAACGCGAGACACAAAUUAUGCCACAAUUAAUGCACGAAAUAUGAAGGAUCUGAAUUUUCGCCAACUUUGGGUUGAGGUUUUGCUACAUUCUCCAGAGAUACUGUUCACGUAUUCUAGUUAGUAAUGGAACAGUACACAUCCAAUAACAGCAAUUCCACAGAACAGAUCGUAGUUCAGGGACAAAUUCAGCAACAGGGUCAGCCUUUAAUGGUCCAAGUCAGUGGUGGUCAACUAAUCACAUCCACUGGUCAACCUAUCAUGGUUCAAGCUGUGCCUACAGGUCAAGGGCAGACAAUUAUGCAAGUUCCUGUCUCUGGAGGGCAGGGUAUACAACAGAUUCAGCUCGUUCAACCAAGCCAGCUCCAGCUCCAAAGUGGACAGACUGUCCAAGUCCAAAACCAACAAGGUCAGACACAACAAAUUAUUAUUCAACAGCCUCAGGCAGCUGUUACAGCAGGACAAACACAGGGUCAACAGCAAAUAGUGCAAGGACAGCAGGUAGCGCAGACUGCAGAAGGACAGACAAUUGUCUAUCAGCCAGUUAAUGCAGACGGCACCAUACUCCAGCAAGUUGCAGUCCCUGUUACAGGCAUGAUCACCAUUCCUGCUGCCAGUCUAGCUGGGGCCCAAAUUGUCCAGACGGGAGCCAGCACAAGCACAACAAAUAGCAGCCAGGGCACUGUAACGGUAACACUACCAGUCACUGGAAGUAUGGUCAAUGCAGGCGGUAUGGUGAUGAUGGUACCAGGGGCGAGCACAGUUCCAGCUAUGCAGAGAAUUCCCUUACCAGGUGCAGAACUACUGGAAGAAGAACCGCUAUAUGUAAAUGCUAAGCAGUAUCAUCGAAUCCUAAGAAGAAGACAGGCAAGAGCCAAACUAGAAGCAGAAGGCAGAAUCCCAAAAGAAAGGAGGAAAUAUCUCCAUGAGUCACGUCAUCGCCAUGCAAUGCAACGAAAGCGUGGAGAAGGAGGACGCUUUUUUUCUCCCAAGGAGGGUGAUGAUAUAGUCAUCUCAGUCAGGCUGUGAAAAGACGUAAGACAGAGAGAAGCCUGAAUGAUUUCUGGGUAGGCUAGAGAAAAAUCAAAAUAAGAAACACCAGCAGCAGAGUGAAGAAAUAAUGGGUCAGGUGAUCAGGGUGGCCUAAGUCUCUGCCUUGUGAGCUGUAUUGAAACAAGAAAUUAAAAUUGACAGUCACUCCUCAGUCCACUAUUCCUACAUUGACUGCCUCAUCUGCCUUCCUGAAACAAAUGGAGUUUUUAAAACAUGAACAAAACAUGCCAAUAGAGAAAGGACCUUGAAUAACUUUGUGUAGGCCAAAUGGAGGAAACCAAUUUUAAAACUGUUUUCAAUUUUGAUGGUAUGUAGUCUACAUUAGUUCAGGAUGGAGAAGGGGAAACUGAUGAAACUUCAAGGUUGUGGAGUACAGCCUGUUAAGUUCAUAAGUUAAUGAAGGACUCUGUGGAGAGAGGAACGAGAUAUUAUGGAAUGUGUGGAUUUAAGGUAUCCUCUAGUGGCUGAACGGAGUGAGUUUUGUUAAUCCAUAUGGUAUGUUAUGAAAACUACAUGAUUUUGUAUUUUUUCCAGUGUUAAUUAAGAGAUAAUGUAUGUUUUUUUAAAAGGAAACUUCAUUCUGUGUACAUGAUGCAAAUACUUGGUAAGAUGUAGCUCCCUGAGACAUUAGACUAUUUUGAAAAAUUAACAAGUUUAUUUGUCAGAAAAUGCAAGUUUGGUGCAAUCUAUUGUUUUAAAUAUGUUUGUAAUGUACCAAGUUUUAAAAUGUGGCAAUGUGUUAUGGACUUGUAAAUGUAGCAUAGGAGCUAACACUGAGUCAUGCAGAACUAGGUAGCCUCAACAUAGGCACAAUUAUACAUUCAGCAAAGAGAACCCACAGAUGGUGGUGUAGUGGCAUUAGCACCAGGCUUUAGAGGCCAAUGGUCCCAAGUUUGAAUCCAGCUGGCCCCUUACAGGCUUUUCAUCCGUGCUGGGUUGAGCAGCGAACUAGCAACUGGGCCUCAUAAAAAAAAAGUCAAACGCUGCAGAAACAGCAAAAAUGCUGCCUGAUGUGCCACAUGGCAUGAAAAAGGAACAACAAAAAGAACCCAGAGUAUUUAGCUACAGUUCUUCUUCCUGCCUAAUGUCGAGCAAAGGAUGGCUGACUGCUGCACUUGAAUUACAUACCUGUUUUCAUUGCAAGAGUGAAACUGCAGUAGGCUACCGCCAAUGAACUGGCACUUCUGUAGAAGUUGUGCUUUGAGAGGAAGGAAAGAUGAUAUGUAUCCUUCAAUUCAAAAUUAACUGUUAAUAAAGUUCAAUUGCCUUGGCCAUGAUUAUACCUGCUACUAUUAUAGAACAGGUUCCAUUUUGACAUACCAGUUACAUCCCAAUAUUUAUAGAUAAAAAGAUAGUAUGCUGUCUCCUUAAAGCUGUAUUAGCUUUUUAUUAAUGUGUUUUUUCCCCAAGGGGAUAGAAUCCUCUGAAAAUCCUUUUUCACCUCCACACUUGUAAGUCCAUGUGCAUGUGUGCAAGUUGAUGUAAAGUAUAUUGAGGGGUCAGAGCUCAAGAAUUGCUCUACAAAAAACCCAUGUGCGUAUUUGACCAGGCAGUACUUGGGGACAGCCUUUAUUAAACAUGGAACCUUUAUUUAGUUUAAAAAAACACCAGAAAUCAAUUUUCAGAACCUUGAAGCAAUACAUUCCAAAACAUGCAGGAAUAUUCUAGAUAGCCAGAUCUUGCCAUUUUACCCUUGCAUCAUUUAACUUUACAGUGACUGGGAAAUACUGAAACUCAGUCUUAAGGGCUUUGUAUAUCAGGUAGAACAUUUUAAUUGUUGCUGAUACUUUAAAGGUCAUGCAGGUUAUAAAUAUUUCAACCAAUGCAUUUAAAUGAGCGCAACUUGUUUUUGUAUAUAGGUUACAGAUUUAUAAUUUUAUAUACAGCAUUUGGUUUGUAAGCAUGAAUUUCAAUUUAGCUGUAGGAAAAGAGUACUGUGUACAUGUUUCAGCUAAUAAAACUAUGCCAUUUUAGUAAUUUAAAGCUUUUUUUAAAUAUAUAAUACUUGCUGGACUGUUUGCAAUUUGAACCAAGAAUUUUCUAUUGCCAGAGUUAGGUUAAGUGAUUUAAAAAUAAAUUUCCUUAAUUUCAGCUUUAUCUUCAAAUUCCAUUUCCAUGCCCUAUAUUCUUGAAAACAGCUGUUUCUGAUAGUUAUAGAUUUGACAGUUCAAUCUAGCUGGUUACCAUUUUUGUUUACUCAUCAUCCUUGAACUGAGUUGCUUCUUUGCCCAUUUCAAAAAACUGAAGAAAAUUGGACAAAAUGCAUCAGAUGUUAAUUUUUUUUUAAAUAUACAGUGUUUGAUGGAUACCAUACUAUUAAGUUCAUUAUCCAAUUAUAUUUAAAUAUCUGUGAUGGGUUAAAUUUAAAAUGCAUCUGAUUAGGUGUUUGGCUUCUGAAUCCCAGCAAAUCAACCACACUUUCACUAUACAUCAGGUUUUCUACCAACUUGUGCAAUGUUAUCCACCUCAAUUAUUCAGUGAUGUUAACCAAUUGUUCAUUACGUAAUACUACAUUUGGAAUUUAUUGUAGGUUCUGUAAAGAGCGCAAGCUAGGUUCAAGGAUUCUGUGGAUGCAAUAGAGACAGCUGCAUAUGUUGCCAUCCAGUGGGAUGAGUUGAAGUGCAACAUUGCGGCAAAAAUUAAAGGGUGAUGAAUACAGGACUGAAGGUAUUACAUUUGAAUGCAUGUAGUAUACAGAACAAGGUAGAUAAUCUUGUAGCGCAGUUGAGAUUGGCAGGUAUAAUGUUGGCAUGAGUUGUGGCUAAAAGAUUAUAGUUGGGAGCUUUAACAUCCAAGGAUACAUGUUGUUUUGAAAGGACAAGCACUUAGGCAGAGGGAAGCGAUGACAUAGGAUCGGGAGAUAUAGCAAUGUUGUAGUAAGAGUUAAGAAACAGAGUAAAAAAACAAGCUUCCAAACAGUAGCCAGGAUAUGGGCUGCAAAUUAUAAUGGGAAAUAGAAAAGGCAUGUCAAAAGGGUAAUGUUACAAUAAGAAAAAAGAAUGAAUCAGGUUUAAUAUCACCAGCAUGUCAUGAGGUUUUAAC